AACCUUAUGGACCUGCGGGCGUAUACCUGCGGAAGGAUCAUUACAGAGUUCAUGCCCUCACGGGUAGAUCUCCCACCCUUGAAUACUAUACCUUUGUUGCUUUGGCGGGCCGCUUUGGCUACUGGCUCUGGCUAGUAAGUGCCCGCCAAAGAACCCCAAAACUCUGAAUAUUAGUGUCGUCUGAGUACUAUAUAAUAGUUAAAACUUUCAACAAUGGAUCU
rnacentral:misc_RNA from 1 species